rnacentral:rRNA from 1 species
GUGUGCGCGCUUCAGGGCCGGUUUCAGCAGAACGCUCUACUUUCUGCUUACUGCUAAAUCCUCCUUCUAGAUACACGUUUCAGUGGUAUUAUCCGUAAUUCACUGUAAUAGGGAAUGUAGCCCAUUUCUUCCCUUUCCAUACGCUACACCUCGACCUGACGUUUUAGGCUGUGCCAAUUAUGCUUACUAAAGGGCCUUCAAAGGGUAAGCUGACGACGGCGGUAUAUAGGCGGGGGGAACAAGAAAAGGUGAGGUUGAACGGGGGUUAUCGGUUUUAGAACAGGCUCCUCUAGGGGGGUCUAAAGCACCGCCAAGUCCUUUGGGUUUUAAGCUAUUGCUCGUAGUUCCCAGGCGGAUAGUGGUUGU